rnacentral:rRNA from 1 species
UACGUAGGGACCAAGCGUUGUUCGGAUUUACUGGGCGUAAAGGGCGCGUAGGCGGCAAUUCAAGUCAUCUGUGAAAUCUCCGGGCUUAACCCGGAACGGUCAGGUGAUACUGUUUUGCUAGAGUGCGGAAGGGGCAAUCGGAAUUCUCGGUGUAGCGGUGAAAUGCGUAGAUAUCGAGAGGAACACCAGAGGCGAAGGCGGGUUGCUAGGCUGACACUGACGCUGAGGCGCGAAAGCUAGGGUAGCAAACGGG